AGCGAACGCUGGCGGCAGGCUUAACACAUGCAAGUCGAGCGGGCGUAGCAAUACGUCAGCGGCAGACGGGUGAGUAACGCGUGGGAACGUACCUUUUGGUUCGGAACAACACAGGGAAACUCGUGCUAAUACCGGAUAAGCCCUUACGGGGAAAGAUUUAUCGCCGAAGGAUCGGCCCGCGUCUGAUUAGCUAGUUGGUAGGGUAAUGGCCUACCAAGGCGACGAUCAGUAGCUGGUCUGAGAGGAUGAUCAGCCACAUUGGGACUGAGACACGGACCAAACUCCUACGGGAGGCAGCAGUGGGGAAUAUUGGACAAUGGGGGCAACCCUGAUCCAGCCAUGCCGCGUGAGUGAUGAAGGCCCUAGGGUUGUAAAGCUCUUUUGUGCGGGAAGAUAAUGACGGUACCGCAAGAAUAAGCCCCGGCUAACUUCGUGCCAGCCGCCGCGGUAA
rnacentral:rRNA from 1 species